AACGAACGCUGGCGGCAUGCCUAACACAUGCAAGUCGAACGAGAUCUUCGGGUCUAGUGGCGCACGGGUGCGUAACGCGUGGGAAUCUGCCCUUUGGUUCGGAAUAACAGUUGGAAACGACUGCUAAUACCGGAUGAUGGCGAAAGUCCAAAGAUUUAUCGCCAGAGGAUGAGCCCGCGUAGGAUUAGCUAGUUGGUGUGGUAAAGGCGCACCAAGGCGACGAUCCUUAGCUGGUCUGAGAGGAUGAUCAGCCACACUGGGACUGAGACACGGCCCAGACUCCUACGGGAGGCAGCAGUGGGGAAUAUUGGACAAUGGGCGAAAGCCUGAUCCAGCAAUGCCGCGUGAGUGAUGAAGGCCUUAGGGUUGUGAAGCUCUUUUACCCGGGAUGAUAAUGACAGUACCGGGAGAAUAAGCUCCGGCUAACUCCGUGCCAGCAGCCGCCGUAACAC
rnacentral:rRNA from 1 species